rnacentral:rRNA from 1 species
AGUGAACGCUGGCGGUAGGCCUAACACAUGCAAGUCGAACGGCAGCACAGUAAGAGCUUGCUCUUACGGGUGGCGAGUGGCGGACGGGUGAGGAAUACAUCGGAAUCUACUUUUUCGUGGGGGAUAACGUAGGGAAACUUACGCUAAUACCGCAUACGACCUACGGGUGAAAGCAGGGGAUCUUCGGACCUUGCGCGAUUGAAUGAGCCGAUGUCGGAUUAGCUAGUUGGCGGGGUAAAGGCCCACCAAGGCGACGAUCCGUAGCUGGUCUGCGGGGAUGAUCAGCCACACUGGAACUGAGACACGGUCCAGACUCCUACGGGAGGCAGCAGUGGGGAAUAUUGGAGAAUGGGCGCAAGCCUGAUCCAGCCAUACCGCGUGGGUGAAGAAGGCCUUCGGGUUGUAAAGCCCUUUUGUUGGGAAAGAAAAGCAGCAGGUUAAUACCCCGCUGUUCUGACGGUACCCAAAGAAUAGGCACCGGCUAACUUCGUG